UACGUAGGGGGCAAGCGUUGUCCGGAAUCAUUGGGCGUAAAGCGCGCGUAGGCGGCCUUAUAAGUCCGUUGUGAAAGUCAAAGGCUCAACCUUUGAAAGCCGAUGGAUACUGUAAGGCUAGAGUCCGGAAGAGGCGAGUGGAAUUCCUGGUGUAGCGGUGGAAUGCGCAGAUAGUCAGGAGGAACACCGGUGGCGAAGGCGGGAUCUCUGGGCCGAGUGACUGACGCUGGAGGAGCGAAAGCGUGGGGAGGCGAACAGGA
rnacentral:rRNA from 1 species